UACGGAGGGUGCAAGCGUUAUCCGGAUUUACUGGGUUUAAAGGGUGUGUAGGCGGACUUUUAAGUCAGCGGUGAAAUCUCCGGGCUCAACCCGGAAACUGCCAUUGAUACUAUUAGUCUUGAAUAUUGUUGAGGUAGGCGGAACGGGUCAUGUAGCGGUGAAAUGCAUAGAUAUGACCCGGAACACCAAUUGCGAAGGCAGCUCGUUACACGA
rnacentral:rRNA from 1 species